rnacentral:lncRNA from 1 species
GGAAAAUUAGUUAGAAAAUUGGGGUUUGAGUUGCAUAAUUCUGCUGAAUUUCGUGCUGCAGAUUAUGCAGACUCGUUGAGCAAAUAGAUUCGUAUAACGAGUGGUCCUGGCGAGAUACUCUCUACCAGGGCAUUCGCACAGUGAAUUGGUGCGCUGUGCAAAUGGCUUAAGACGUUUGCUCUCUGCCUGGACAUUUGCACAGCGAG